rnacentral:rRNA from 1 species
UACGGGGGGGGCAAGCGUUGUUCGGAAUUACUGGGCGUAAAGGGCUCGUAGGCGGCCAACUAAGUCAGACGUGAAAUCCCUCGGCUUAACCGGGGAACUGCGUCUGAUACUGGAUGGCUUGAGUGUGGGAGAGGGAUGCGGAACUCCAGGUGUAGCGGUGAAAUGCGCAGAUAUCUGGAGGAACACCUAUUGCGAAGGCAGCUCGCUGGGACGUAACUGACGCUGAGACGCGAAAGCGUGGGGAGCAAACAGG